rnacentral:rRNA from 1 species
CAGCAGCCGCGGGAAUACGGAGGAUCCAAGCGUUAUCCGGAAUCAUUGGGUUUAAAGGGUCCGUAGGCGGUCUUGUAAGUCAGUGGUGAAAGCCCAUCGCUCAACGGUGGAACGGCCAUUGAUACUGCAGGACUUGAAUUAUUGGGAAGUAACUAGAAUAUGUAGUGUAGCGGUGAAAUGCUUAGAGAUUACAUGGAAUACCAAUUGCGAAGGCAGGUUACUACCAAUUGAUUGACGCUGAUGGACGAAAGCGUGGGUAGCGAACAGGAUUAGAUACCCGUGUAGUCCCUGUCUCUUAUAA